rnacentral:lncRNA from 1 species
GUUCUGAGGUGCGCCGGGGACAGCCGAGCGUUUGGCGCCCUCGUGGCGGGCGGAGCGCGGGUGGGAGGCGGCGGUGUUGGGGAGCUCGGUGUGUGACUUUGUUCUCUGCUCAGCAGGCAGAAAGCAAGGCGCUCGGCGGUGGUUUCGCAGCGUGGACACGUGCGGCGGGAGGUAACGAGGAUUGCUGGGGAUGUUGAGUGUAGAGGGAGAGCCUGUGCGUCAGAGUCAAAGCCUGAGACUUUGGUGAAGAGCACUAAAUUGCAAACAUUUCCUUGGGUUUGGAGGCAGGUUCAGCAGCCCACAAUUUCUCUCAUUUAGAGGAGGAUAAUCCAAGUCUUUCGAGC